AGCUUUGUGCAGUGGCAGUAUUGUAGCCAAUGAGGUUUACCUGAGGAGCAAUUAUUGCUAUUUGAAAAUUUCACAGGCUUUUUAAAAAUUAAUCCCUAUUAUUUUAUUUCUAUAUGGACAUAUA
ensembl:snRNA U4 U4 spliceosomal RNA